rnacentral:rRNA from 1 species
GACGAACGCUGGCGGCGUGCUUAACACAUGCAAGUCGAACGGAAAGACCCUGCUUUUGUGGGGUGCUCGAGUGGCGAACGGGUGAGUAACACGUGAGUAACCUGCCCUUGACUUUGGGAUAACUUCAGGAAACUGGGGCUAAUACCGGAUAGGAGCUCCUGCUGCAUGGUGGGGGUUGGAAAGUUUCGGCGGUUGGGGAUGGACUCGCGGCUUAUCAGCUUGUUGGUGGGGUAGUGGCUUACGAAGGCUUUGACGGGUAGCCGGCCUGAGAGGGUGACCGGCCACAUUGGGACUGAGAUACGGCCCAGACUCCUACGGGAGGCAGCAGUGGGGAAUAUUGCACAAUGGGCGGAAGCCUGAUGCAGCAACGCCGCGUGCGGGAUGACGGCCUUCGGGUUGUAAACCGCUUUCGCCUGUGACGAAGCGUGAGUGACGGUAAUGGGUAAAGAAGCACCGGCUAACUACGUG